rnacentral:precursor_RNA from 1 species
CUAGACUGAAGCUCCUUGAGGACAGGGAUGGUCAUACUCACCUCGGUGUUGCCCACACCUCCAGGCCAGGAGCCUAAGUACAGGA